AUCUGAGGUCAUAACUAAUAAUUGACUGGAUACUCUCAGUAUACUUCCGUUUAUUAUUUCAUGUAAUAGUAAUGGCAGAAGUAGAUUUUUACCGAUUACUGCUGUUCCAUAUAUUGUAGAUCAUUUCUAAAGAACAUCUGUACUUCAUUGGACCUCCAUUCACCCGCCGCCAUUUUUACAUUCAUUUCUUAACUGAUAUACCGAAUUUCUUAGUCUUUUCAUAAUUAGACAGAAAUAAUUUUUGUAAUUCUAAUGUUAUUUCUUUACACCCACUAUGUUCUGUAAUAAGAAUAUACUGUUUAUUAGAUAAUUUAGAAAAAUA